AACGAACGCUGGCGGCAUGCCUAACACAUGCAAGUCGAACGAACCCUUCGGGGUUAGUGGCGCAUGGGUGCGUAACGCGUGGGGAUCUGCCCUUUGCUUCGGAAUAACAGUUAGAAAUGACUGCUAAUACCGGAUGAUGUCGUAAGACCAAAGAUUUAUCGGCAAAGGAUGAACCCGCGUAGGAUUAGCUAGUUGGUAGGGUAAAGGCCUACCAAGGCGACGAUCCUUAGCUGGUCUGAGAGGAUGAUCAGCCACACUGGGACUGAGACACGGCCCAGACUCCUACGGGAGGCAGCAGUGGGGAAUAUUGGACAAUGGGCGAAAGCCUGAUCCAGCAAUGCCGCGUGAGUGAUGAAGGCC
rnacentral:rRNA from 1 species